GUCAGGGACAUCCGAUAACAUUAGAACGAUACAUAGAAGAUUAACAUGACUCUCGUGUAAGGAUGACACGCACAAAUCGAUAAAUGGUACCAAAGCUA